rnacentral:rRNA from 1 species
GGCAUGCCUAACACAUGCAAGUCGAACGAAGGCUUCGGCCUUAGUGGCGCACGGGUGCGUAACGCGUGGGAAUCUGCCCUCAGGUUCGGAAUAACAGCGAGAAAUUGCUGCUAAUACCGGAUGAUAUCGCGAGAUCAAAGAUUUAUCGCCUGAGGAUGAGCCCGCGUAGGAUUAGCUAGUUGGUGUGGUAAAGGCGCACCAAGGCGACGAUCCUUAGCUGGUCUGAGAGGAUGAUCAGCCACACUGGGACUGAGACACGGCCCAGACUCCUACGGGAGGCAGCAGUGGGGAAUAUUGGACAAUGGGCGAAAGCCUGAUCCAGCAAUGCCGCGUGAGUGAUGAAGGCCUUAGGGUUGUAAAGCUCUUUUACCCGGGAUGAUAAUGACAGUACCGGGAGAAUAAGCUCCGGCUAACUCCGUGCCAGCAGCCGCGGUAAUACGGAGGGAGCUAGCGUUAUUGGGAAUUACUGGGCGUAAAGCGCACGUAGGCGGCUUUGUAAGUUAGAGGUGAAAGCCAAGGAGCUCAACUCCAGAAUUGCCUUUAAGACUGCAUCGCUUGAAUCC